UCGCCGCGAAGGAGCUUAUUUUCUAAGACUCAACUCAGAGCGGGGAAGUUUCACCCGCUGUAAUCUUAGGGUUUGUCUUUCAGUUUGGGCUUGCCUUGUAAGGCCGGCGGGACAGGAAUUCGGCUGCAAUUAUCAGACUAUUGUUAUUGCUAAAGUUCAUAGAUUAACAAUUUAGUUAUUGCACAUAUGAAAAAUAUCUCAAUGAAACGUAAACGGGAGGCUCUGGGUAGAAAAUAGGUUCUGGUGAUUUGAUGACCUUUGAUGAAUCUUUAGUAAUCUGAUUGAC